UACCACAUUCUUGCUCCCGCUAACCAAGACCUAUGGGAGGAUAAAUUACGUCUUUAUAUCCAGUAGUGAGGGAUUACUGGAAAUAAGUUUNNNN
ncrna:unclassified sequences PhotoRC-II RNA